rnacentral:rRNA from 1 species
CCCUUAGAUGUUCUGGGCCGCACGCGCGCUACACUGAUGCAUUCAACGAGCCUAGCCUUGACCGAGAGGUCCGGGUAAUCUUUGAAACUGCAUCGUGAUGGGGCUAGAUUAUUGCAAUUAUUAAUCUUCGACGAGGAAUGCCUAGUAAGCGUGAUUCAUCAAAUCGCGUUGAUUACGUCCCUGCCCUUUGUACACACCGCCCGUCGCUCCUACCGAUUGAGUGUGUUGGUGAGGAGUUCGGAUUGGCUCUUAGUGGUGGUUCGCCACCACCUAGAGCUGAGAAGUUCUCCAAACCGCCCCACUUAGAGGAAGGAGAAGUCGUAACA